UACGUAGGUCCCGAGCGUUGUCCGGAUUUAUUGGGCGUAAAGCGAGCGCAGGUGGUUUAAUAAGUCUGAUGUAAAAGGCAGUGGCUCAACCAUUGUGUGCAUUGGAAACUGUUAGACUUGAGUGCAGUAGAGGAGAGUGGAAUUCCAUGUGUAGCGGUGAAAUGCGUAGAUAUAUGGAGGAACACCGGUGGCGAAAGCGGCUCUCUGGACUGUAACUGACACUGAGGCGCGAAAGCGUGGGGAGCAAACAGG
rnacentral:rRNA from 1 species